rnacentral:rRNA from 1 species
UACGUAGGGUGCAAGCGUUAAUCGGAAUUACUGGGCGUAAAGCGUGCGCAGGCGGUUAUGUAAGACAGAUGUGAAAUCCCCGGGCUCAACCUGGGAACUGCAUUUGUGACUGCAUAGCUAGAGUACGGUAGAGGGGGAUGGAAUUCCGCGUGUAGCAGUGAAAUGCGUAGAUAUGCGGAGGAACACCGAUGGCGAAGGCAAUCCCCUGGACCUGUACUGACGCUCAUGCACGAAAGCGUGGGGAGCAAA